rnacentral:rRNA from 1 species
GACGAACGCUGGCGGCGUGCUUAACACAUGCAAGUCGAACGAAGCUUGAUUACGGAUUCUUCGGAUGAAGUAUGAUAUGACUGAGUGGCGGACGGGUGAGUAACGCGUGAGUAACCUGCCCUUCAGAGGGGGAUAGCGUUUGGAAACGAACGGUAAUACCGCAUAAUGUAUUUUGACCGCAUGAUCGAAAUACCAAAGAUUUAUCGCUGAAGGAUGGACUCGCGUCUGAUUAGGUAGUUGGUGGGGUAACGGCCUACCAAGCCGACGAUCAGUAGCCGGACUGAGAGGUUGAUCGGCCACAUUGGGACUGAGACACGGCCCAGACUCCUACGGGAGGCAGCAGUGGGGAAUAUUGCACAAUGGGCGCAAGCCUGAUGCAGCAACGCCGCGUGAAGGAAGACGGUUUUCGGAUUGUAAACUUCUGUUCUUAGUGAAGAAUAAUGACGGUAGCUAAGGAGCAAGCCGCGGCUAACUACGUG